AUUGAACGCUGGCGGCAGGCCUAACACAUGCAAGUCGAACGAGUGGCGGACGGGUGAGUAAUGUCUGGGAAACUGCCCGAUGGAGGGGGAUAACUACUGGAAACGGUAGCUAAUACCGCAUACCAUCGGAUGUGCCCAGAGGGGAUUAGCUAGUAGGUGGGGUAACGGCUCACCUAGGCGACGAUCCCUAGCUGGUCGGAGAGGAUGACCAGCCCCACUGGAACUGAGACACGGUCCAGGCACCUACGGGAGGCAGCAGUGGGGAAUAUUGCGCAGUGGGCGCGAGCCUGAUGCAGCCAUGCCGCGUGGAUGAAGAAGGCGUUGGGGUUGUAAAUUACUUUCAGCGAUGAGGCGUUACUCGCACAAGAGGCACCGGCUAACUCCGUGCCAGCCGCCGCGGUAAUUC
rnacentral:rRNA from 1 species